UUUGCCAAAAACUUGUGCUCUUCUUUAAUGGAGUGUAAUAUCAGCGCCUUUUAUAAGUUUUUAUCUUCAUGUCAUGAACUGUUCACAUAAUUUGUAAAUCAUAUGCUUG